rnacentral:rRNA from 1 species
CGAAUGCUGACAUAAGUAACGAUAAAGCGGGUGAAAAGCCCGCUCGCCGGAAGACCAAGGGUUCCUGUCCAACGUUAAUCGGGGCAGGGUGAGUCGACCCCUAAGGCGAGGCCGAAAGGCGUAGUCGAUGGGAAACAGGUUAAUAUUCCUGUACUUGGUGUUACUGCGAAGGGGGGACGGAGAAGGCUAUGUUGGCCGGGCGACGGUUGUCCCGGUUUAAGCGUGUAGGCUGGUUUUCCAGGCAAAUCCGGAAAAUCAAGGCUGAGGCGUGAUGACGAGGCACUACGGUGCUGAAGCAACAAAUGCCCUGCUUCCAGGAAAAGCCUCUAAGCAUCAGGUAACAUCAAAUCGUACCCCAAACCGACACAGGUGGUCAGGUAGAGAAUACCAAGGCGCUUGAGAGAACUCGGGUGAAGGAACUAGGCAAAAUGGUGCCGUAACUUCGGGAGAAGGCACGCUGAUAUGUAGGUGAAGCGACUUGCUCGUGGAGCUGAAAUCAGUCGAAGAUACCAGCUGGCUGCAACUGUUUAUUAAAAACACAGCACUGUGCAAACACGAAAGUGGACGUAUACGGUGUGACGCCUGCCCGGUGCCGGAAGGUUAAUUGAUGGGGUUAGCGGUAACGCGAAGCUCUUGAUCGAAGCCCCGGUAAACGGCGGCCGUAACUAUAACGGUCCUAAGGUAGCGAAAUUCCUUGUCGGGUAAGUUCCGACCUGCACGAAUGGCGUAAUGAUGGCCAGGCUGUCUCCACCCGAGACUCAGUGAAAUUGAACUCGCUGUGAAGAUGCAGUGUACCCGCGGCAAGACGGAAAGACCCCGUGAACCUUUACUAUAGCUUGACACUGAACAUUGAGCCUUGAUGUGUAGGAUAGGUGGGAGGCUUUGAAGUGUGGACGCCAGUCUGCAUGGAGCCGGCCUUGAAAUACCACCCUUUAAUGUUUGAUGUUCUAACGUUGGCCCCUGAUCGGGGUUGCGGACAGUGUCUGGUGGGUAGUUUGACUGGGGCGGUCUCCUCCUAAAGAGUAACGGAGGAGCACGAAGGUUGGCUAAUCCUGGUCGGACAUCAGGAGGUUAGUGCAAUGGCAUAAGCCAGCUUGACUGCGAGCGUGACGGCGCGAGCAGGUGCGAAAGCAGGUCAUAGUGAUCCGGUGGUUCUGAAUGGAAGGGCCAUCGCUCAACGGAUAAAAGGUACUCCGGGGAUAACAGGCUGAUACCGCCCAAGAGUUCAUAUCGACGGCGGUGUUUGGCACCUCGAUGUCGGCUCAUCACAUCCUGGGGCUGAAGUAGGUCCCAAGGGUAUGGCUGUUCGCCAUUUAAAGUGGUACGCGAGCUGGGUUUAGAACGUCGUGAGACAGUUCGGUCCCUAUCUGCCGUGG